rnacentral:rRNA from 1 species
GAACUGAAGAGUUUGAUCAUGGCUCAGAUUGAACGCUGGCGGCAGGCCUAACACAUGCAAGUCGAGCGGAUGACGGGAGCUUGCUCCUUGAUUCAGCGGCGGACGGGUGAGUAAUGCCUAGGAAUCUGCCUGGUAGUGGGGGACAACGUUUCGAAAGGAACGCUAAUACCGCAUACGUCCUACGGGAGAAAGCAGGGGACCUUCGGGCCUUGCGCUAUCAGAUGAGCCUAGGUCGGAUUAGCUUGUUGGUGAGGUAAUGGCUCACCAAGGCGACGAUCCGUAACUGGUCUGAGAGGAUGAUCAGUCACACUGGAACUGAGACACGGUCCAGACUCCUACGGGAGGCAGCAGUGGGGAAUAUUGGACAAUGGGCGAAAGCCUGAUCCAGCCAUGCCGCGUGUGUGAAGAAGGUCUUCGGAUUGUAAAGCACUUUAAGUUGGGAGGAAGGGCAGUAAGCUAAUACCUUGCUGUUUUGACGUUACCGACAGAAUAAGCACCGGCUAACUCUGUGCCAGCAGCCGCGGUAAUACAGAGGGUGCAAGCGUUAAUCGGAAUUACUGGGCGUAAAGCGCGCGUAGGUGGUU